AGGUGAGAUUUAAACCAGAACGCUAAACAUGUAGAUCUGCUCGACGAAGGCUUACGGACGCGGGUUCAAUUCCCGCCAGCUCCACCA
rnacentral:tRNA from 1 species